rnacentral:lncRNA from 1 species
AUAUAUAGUGUAAGUAUAUGGAGAAAACCAAUUUUAGUGAGAAAACUUAGCAAACUAGAAUAUGUGGUCCACAUUCACCCACAUCACCUCAUCCAUACCCAUCCUUUAAGGGUAUUUUGGUCUUUUUGUUUCUUUCUUUGAAGAUUGUGCUUUGUACUUUUCACCAACCAUCACAUUUCCCCACAUCCCCACUUGAUUAUACCCAACCCAUCAUCCAUCACCUUUUGUACUUCUUAUCAUCCAUCAUAUUUUUCAAAACUCCAUUGUUCUCUUCUUCAACCAUUGAAAUCUGAAGAUCGAAGAUCGAAGCCAUCCCUUCCAACCUUUGAAAUAUGAAGAUCGAAGCCACCAUCAAUGCUCUGCCACCAUCAAAGCUCUCAAAGAUCGAAGAUCAAAGCCACCAUCCCUUCCAACCUUGAAAUCUGAAGAUCGAAGCCACCAUUGAAGAUCGAAGCCACCAUCAAAGCUCUCAAAGAAAAGGAAGCUCGGUGUCAUUUUAAUCACAUCUUUGUUUCUGUUUUUUAGAGAAGGAAAGCUAAUGUUUUGGAAGGAGAGAUAACAAUUUUCAUGUUGUGGAAAGAUGUUUUGUGUUCAAGAUGAAGAUGGUUAUCAAGAAGCG